GCUGGUUGUAGCAUACACUGGUAGUCCCACCUACUUGGGAAGUUGAGGCAAAAGAAUCACUUGAGCCCAGGAGUUCAAAGCCAACCUGGGUAACACAGUGAGAUCUUGUCUCCA
rnacentral:sRNA from 1 species